rnacentral:rRNA from 1 species
UGGGGAAUAUUGCACAAUGGGCGCAAGCCUGAUGCAGCCAUGCCGCGUGUGUGAAGAAGGCCUUCGGGUUGUAAAGCACUUUCAGCGGGGAGGAAGGCGAUAAGGUUAAUAACCUUGUCGAUUGACGUUACCCGCAGAAGAAGCACCGGCUAACUCCGUGCCAGCAGCCGCGGUAAUACGGAGGGUGCAAGCGUUAAUCGGAAUUACUGGGCGUAAAGCGCACGCAGGCGGUCUGUCAAGUCGGAUGUGAAAUCCCCGGGCUCAACCUGGGAAUUGCAUCUGAUACUGGUCAGCUAGAGUCUUGUAGAGGGGGGUAGAAUUCCAUGUGUAGCGGUGAAAUGCGUAGAGAUGUGGAGGAAUACCGGUGGCGAAGGCGGCCCCCUGGACAAAGACUGACGCUCAGGUGCGAAAGCGUGGGGAGCAAACAGG